rnacentral:rRNA from 1 species
GGACUACAAGGGUAUCUAAUCCUGUUUGCUCCCCACGCUUUCGUGUUUCAACGUCAGAAAUGGACCAAGAAGCUGCCUUCGCCAUUGGUGUUCCUCUCGAGAUCUACGCAUUUUACCGCUACUCCGAGAAUUCCACUUCUCUCUUCCACCCUCUAGCACACCAGUAUCCACUGCAUAUUCCUGGUUAGGCCAGGAGAUUUAACAACAGACUUAGUGCACCGUCUACACACCCUUUACGCCCAAUAAUUCCGAAUAACGCUUGCACCCCUCGUCUUACCGCGGCUGCUGGCAC